ACUGGGUUGAUAGGCCAGAUGUGGAAGCCCGGUAACGGGUGGAGCUGACUGGUACUAAUAGGCCGAGGGCUUGUCCU
rnacentral:rRNA from 1 species